rnacentral:misc_RNA from 1 species
CUGAGCUCGUGCCCCCCGGGGUAGACCUCCCACCCUGCCUAUCUCUCCUAUCGUUGCCUUGGCGGGACGCCGUCCACGGCCGCCGGUCCUGCCGGCGCGUGCCCGCCAUAGGCCCUCCUUAACACCCGCGUAUCAGUGUCGUCUGAGUGGUAGAUUCAAAUCGUUA